AGUGGCGGACGGGUGAGUAACGCGUGAGAAUCUGCCUUGGGGUCGGGGACAACCACUGGAAACGGUGGCUAAUACCGGAUAAGCCGAUUGGUGAAAGAUUUAUUGCCCGAAGAGGAGCUCGCGUCUGAUUAGCUAGUUGGUGAGGUAAGAGCUCACCAAGGCAGCGAUCAGUAGCUGGUCUGAGAGGACGAUCAGCCACACUGGGACUAAGACACGGCCCAGACUCCUACGGGAGGCAGCAGUGGGGAAUUUUCCGCAAUGGGCGAAAGCCUGACGGAGCAAGACCGCGUGAGGGAGGAAGGCUCUUGGGUUGUAAACCUCUUUUCUCAGGGAAGAAGCUCUGACGGUACCUGAGGAAUCAGCCUCGGCUAACUCCGUGCCAGCAGCCGCGGUAAUACGGAGGAGGCAAGCGUUAUCCGGAAUUAUUGGGCGUAAAGCGUCCGCAGGUGGCGAUUCAAGUCUGCUGUCAAAGCACGGGGCUUAACUCCGUAAAGGCAGUGGAAACUGAAUAGCUAGAGUGCCGUAGGGGUAGAGGGAAUUCCCGGUGUAGCGGUGAAAUGCGUAGAGAUCGGGAAGAACAUCGGUGGCGAAAGCGCUCUACUGGACGGCAACUGACACUCAGGGACGAAAGCUAGGGGAGCGAAUGGGAUUAGAUACCCC
rnacentral:rRNA from 1 species